rnacentral:rRNA from 2 species
GCCUAUACAUGCAAGUCGAACGAACUCUGGUAUUGAUUGGUGCUUGCAUCAUGAUUUACAUUUGAGUGAGUGGCGAACUGGUGAGUAACACGUGGGAAACCUGCCCAGAAGCGGGGGAUAACACCUGGAAACAGAUGCUAAUACCGCAUAACAACUUGGACCGCAUGGUCCNAGUUUGAAAGAUGGCUUCGGCUAUCACUUUUGGAUGGUCCCGCGGCGUAUUAGCUAGAUGGUGGGGUAACGGCUCACCAUGGCAAUGAUACGUAGCCGACCUGAGAGGGUAAUCGGCCACAUUGGGACUGAGACACGGCCCAAACUCCUACGGGAGGCAGCAGUAGGGAAUCUUCCACAAUGGACGAAAGUCUGAUGGAGCAACGCCGCGUGAGUGAAGAAGGGUUUCGGCUCGUAAAACUCUGUUGUUAAAGAAGAACAUAUCUGAGAGUAACUGNUCAGGUAUUGACGGUAUUUAACCAGAAAGCCACGGCUAACUACGUGCCAGCAGCCGCGGUAAUACGUAGGUGGCAAGCGUUGUCCGGAUUUAUUGGGCGUAAAGCGAGCGCAGGCGGUUUUUUAAGUCUGAUGUGAAAGCCUUCGGCUCAACCGAAGAAGUGCAUCGGAAACUGGGAAACUUGAGUGCAGAAGAGGACAGUGGAACUCCAUGUGUAGCGGUGAAAUGCGUAGAUAUAUGGAAGAACACCAGUGGCGAAGGCGGCUGUCUGGUCUGUAACUGACGCUGAGGCUCGAAAGUAUGGGUAGCAAACAGGAUUAGAUACCCUGGUAGUCCAUACCGUAAACGAUGAAUGCUAAGUGUUGGAGGGUUUCCGCCCUUCAGUGCUGCAGCUAACGCAUUAAGCAUUCCGCCUGGGGAGUACGGCCGCAAGGCUGAAACUCAAAGGAAUUGACGGGGGCCCGCACAAGCGGUGGAGCAUGUGGUUUAAUUCGAAGCUACGCGAAGAACCUUACCAGGUCUUGACAUACUAUGCAAAUCUAAGAGAUUAGACGUUCCCUUCGGGGACAUGGAUACAGGUGGUGCAUGGUUGUCGUCAGCUCGUGUCGUGAGAUGUUGGGUUAAGUCCCGCAACGAGCGCAACCCUUAUUAUCAGUUGCCAGCAUUAAGUUGGGCACUCUGGUGAGACUGCCGGUGACAAACCGGAGGAAGGUGGGGAUGACGUCAAAUCAUCAUGCCCCUUAUGACCUGGGCUACACACGUGCUACAAUGGAUGGUACAACGAGUUGCGAACUCGCGAGAGUAAGCUAAUCUCUUAAAGCCAUUCUCAGUUCGGAUUGUAGGCUGCAACUCGCCUACAUGAAGUCGGAAUCGCUAGUAAUCGCGGAUCAGCAUGCCGCGGUGAAUACGUUCCCGGGCCUUGUACACACCGCCCGUCACACCAUGAGAGUUUGUAACACCCAAAGUCGGUGGGGUAACCUUUUAGGAACCAGCCGCCUAAGUG